rnacentral:rRNA from 1 species
UACGGAAUGUGCAAACGUUAUUCGGAAUCACUGGGCUUAAAGAGUCCGUAGGCGGCAUGUUAGGUGAGGUGUGAAAUCCCCCGGCUCAACCGAGGGAUUGCGCUUCAAACCGGCGUGCUUGAGGAAGAUAGAGGUGGGCGGAACUGAUGGUGGAGCGGUGAAAUGCGUUGAUAUCAUCAGGAACACCGGAGGCGAAGGCGGCCCACUGGGUCUUUUCUGACGCUGAGGGACGAAAGCUAGGGGAGCGAACGGG